rnacentral:rRNA from 1 species
GGGUGCGAUCAUACCAGCACUAAUGCAUCGGAUCUCAUUGGAACUCUGAAUUUAAGCGUGCUUAAGCGAGUAUAGUACUAAGAUGGGCUUUGUCAUAGGGCCUUCACAAACACAGGUAAGACAUGAC